AUUGAACACUGGCGGCAGGCUUAACACAUGCAAGUCGAGCGAGGGGCGGACGGGUGAGUAAUGUCUGGGAAACUGCCUGAUGGAGGGGGAUAACUACUGGAAACGGUAGCUACUACCGCAUAACAUCAGAUGUGCCCAGAUGGGAUGAGCUAGUAGGUGGGGUAAUGGCUCACCUAGGCGACGAGCCCUAGCUGGUCUGAGAGGAUGACCAUCCACACUGGAAAUGAGACACGUUCCAGACUCCUACGAGAGGCAGCGGUGGGGAAUAUUGCACAAUGGGCGCAAGCCUGAUGCAGCCAUGCCGCGUGUGUGAAGAAGGCCUUCGGGUUGUAAAGCACUUUCAUCGAGGAGGCGUUACUCGCAGAAGAAGCACCGGCUAACUCCGUGCCAGCAGCCGCGGUAAUUC
rnacentral:rRNA from 1 species